CGCAUCUGUGCAUGCAGCAUAUCAAUAAGCGGAGGAAAAGAAACUAACAAGGAUUCCCCUAGUAACGGCGAGUGAAGCGGGAAGAGCUCAAAUUUGAAAUCUUAAAGGGUUUCCCUUUACGAAUUGUAGUUUAAAGAAGUGUUUUCUGUUGAGGUUUUGGUAAAAGUUCUUUGGAAUAGGACAUCAUAGAGGGUGAGAAUCCCGUAUUUGACCUUUACUUUCAACUUUGUGAUACACUUUCAAAGAGUCGGAUUGUUUGGGAAUGCAGUCCAAAAUGGGUGGUAAAUUUCAUCUAAAGCUAAAUAUUGGCGAGAGACCGAUAUCGAACAAGUACCGUGAGGGAAAGAUGAAAAGAACUUUGAAAAGAGAGUUAAACAGUACGUGAAAUUGUCAAAAGGGAAGCGUUUGACACCAGUGUUGUUUUUCUGAAAAUCAAUUAAAGAACUGUUUAUGCUAAGUUGUUUAGACUUUAUCAGCUAUCUGUUUAGUUUUGAGCUUUUCUUUAAUGCACUUUUCAGUUAACAAGUCAACAUCAAUUUUUUUUGCUGUAAAAAAGCUUGAGGAAGGUGGCUUGAGAUUCGUCUUAAGUGUUCAUAGCCUCUUGCCUAUGCAGUCGGAGAGAUUGAGGUCUGCAGCGUAGAUCCUUCGGGGCUAAAUGCAUUUGUGCUAAGUUAUAGCAUUUUAUAGACAACUUGUUGACUAUGAUUUGUCUUGUAGCUUACUCGCUUAUGUUAUUUUACCUACGCUUAGGAUGUUGACGAGACUGUCGAUCUCAUCUAUACAUGACUCUGUGCAUAUCAAUAAGCGGAGGAAAAGACUGCGGAACUGAACGACCGCUACCUACGCUUAGGAUGUUGACGAGACUGUCGAUCUC
rnacentral:rRNA from 1 species